rnacentral:rRNA from 1 species
GCUAGUAAUGGCAGGUCAGCAUACUGCCGUGAAUACGUUCCCGGGCCUUGUACACACCGCCCGUCACACCAUGAGAGUUGGGAAUACCCGAAACCUGUGAGCUAACUUAUAGAGGCAGCAGUUGAAGGUAGAAUCAAUGAUUGGGGUGAAGUCGUAACAAGGUAAC